UACGUAGGGUGCAAGCGUUAUCCGGAAUUAUUGGGCGUAAAGAGCUCGUAGGCGGUUUGUCACGUCUGCUGUGAAAACUGGAGGCUCAACCUCCAGCCUGCAGUGGGUACGGGCAGACUAGAGUGUGGUAGGGGAGACUGGAAUUCCUGGUGUAGCGGUGAAAUGCGCAGAUAUCAGGAGGAACACCGAUGGCGAAGGCAGGUCUCUGGGCCAACUACUGA
rnacentral:rRNA from 1 species